ACUGCUCAGUAACACGUGGAUAACCUGCCCUUGGGACCGGCAUAACCCCGGGAAACUGGGGAUAAUUCCGGAUACCGCAUAUAUGCUGGAAUGCUUUAUGCGUGAAAUGGAUUCGUCUGCCCAAGGAUGGGUCUGCGGCCUAUCAGGUAGUAGUGGGUGUAAUGUACCUACUAGCCUACAACGGGUACGGGUUGUGAGAGCAAGAGCCCGGAGAUGGAUUCUGAGACAUGAAUCCAGGCCCUACGGGGCGCAGCAGGCGCGAAAACUUUACAAUGCGGGAAACCGUGAUAAGGGGACACCGAGUGCCAGCAUCAUAUGCUGGCUGUCCUGGUGUGUAAAAUACACCUGUUAGCAAGGGCCGGGCAAGACCGGUGCCAGCCGCCGCGGUAACACCGGCGGCCCGAGUGGUGAUCGUGAUUAUUGGGUCUAAAGGGUCCGUAGCCGGUUUGGUCAGUCCUCCGGGAAAUCUGACAGCUCAACUGUUAGGCUUUCGGGGGAUACUGCCAGACUUGGAACCGGGAGAGGUAAGAGGUACUACAGGGGUAGGAGUGAAAUCUUGUAAUCCCCGGGGGACCACCUGUGGCGAAGGCGUCUCACCAGAACGGCUCCGACAGUGAGGGACGAAAGCUGGGGGAGCGAACCGGAUUAGAUACCCGGGUAGUCCCAGCCGUAAACGAUGCGGGCUAGGUGUUGGGGUGGCUACGAGCCACUUCAGUGCCGCAGGGAAGCCAUUAAGCCCGCCGCCUGGGGAGUACGGCCGCAAGGCUGAAACCUAAAGGAAUUGGCGGGGGAGCAC
rnacentral:rRNA from 1 species